GAUGAACGCUGGCGGCGUGCUUAACACAUGCAAGUCGAACGGUGAACACGGAGCUUGUUCUGUGGGAUCAGUGGCGAACGGGUGAGUAACACGUGAGCAACCUGCCCCUGACUCUGGGAUAAGCGCUGGAAACGGCGUCUAAUACUGGAUAUGUGACGUGACCGCAUGGUCUGCGUUUGGAAAGAUUUUUCGGUUGGGGAUGGGCUCGCGGCCUAUCAGCUCGUUGGUGAGGUAAUGGCUCACCAAGGCGUCGACGGGUAGCCGGCCUGAGAGGGUGACCGGCCACACUGGGACUGAGACACGGCCCAGACUCCUACGGGAGGCAGCAGUGGGGAAUAUUGCACAAUGGGCGCAAGCCUGAUGCAGCAACGCCGCGUGAGGGAUGACGGCCUUCGGGUUGUAAACCUCUUUUAGCAGGGAAGAAGCGAAAGUGACGGUACCUGCAGAAAAAGCGCCGGCUAACUACGUG
rnacentral:rRNA from 1 species